rnacentral:rRNA from 1 species
CCUACGGGAGGCAGCAGUGAGGAAUAUUGGUCAAUGGACGCGAGUCUGAACCAGCCAAGUAGCGUGCAGGAUGACUGCUCUAUGGGUUGUAAACUUCUUUUAUACAGGAAUAAACGGAGGCACGCGUGCCUUUCUGCCAGUAUUUUAUGAAUAAGGAUCGGCUAACUCCGUGCCAGCAGCCGCGGUAAUACGGAGGAUUCGAGCGUUAUCCGGAUUUAUUGGGUUUAAAGGGUGCGUAGAUGGGUUGAUAAGUCAGAUGUGAAAGUUUGCGGCUCAACUGUAGAAUUGCAAUUGAUACUGGCAGUCUUGAGUACAGUUGAGGUAGGCGGAAUGCAUGGUGUAGCGGUGAAAUGCUUAGAGAUCACAAAGAACCCCGAUUGCGAAGGCAGCUUACUAAGCUGUUACUGACAUUGAUGCUCGAAAGUGUGGGUAGCAAACAGGAUUAGAUACCCCAGUAGUC